rnacentral:rRNA from 1 species
UACGGAGGGUGCAAGCGUUGCUCGGAAUCACUGGGCGUAAAGCGACCGCAGGCGGCCUGCCAAGUCGGAUGUGAAAGCCCUGGGCUCAACUCAGGAAUUGCAUUCGAAACUGGCAGGCCUGAGUACGGGAGAGGGGGGUGGAAUUCCUGGUGUAGGGGUGAAAUUCGUAGAUAUUCGCAAGAACACCAGUGGCGAAGGCGGCUCACUGGCCCGGUACUGACGCUGAGGUGCGAAAGCGUGGGGAGCAAACAGG